AAAUCAUAUUUUUGUUUUAUUGUUGGAAAACCAAAGCCCAGAGGUAAAGUUGUUUGCUCGAGAUAAUUUGCAUAGACUGAGAUUAAUGCCCCCAUCUCCUCAUUUCUCAGUUUCUUGCUUCAUUAGUUGGCCCUCAGGCUAGUGCUAGAAGCAAAGACAAAGAGUGGGUCACUGCUCAGCAAGUACCUGAGCAAAACAGAGUCACAGAGACACAUGCUUAAAAAUGGUGCUUGGGUAUAUAUAUCCUGAGGACUUGAAACCAGUAUGUCAAAGUGAUGUCUGUACUCCUGUGUUCACUGCAGCAUUAGUCACAGUAGCGAAGACACAGAAACAACCUAAGUGUUCACCAACAGAUGAGUGAGUAAAGCAAAUGUAGCAUAUAUACACAGUGGAAUACUAUUCAGCCUUAAAAAAGAAGGAAAUUUGGCUAUCUGCAACAACAUGGAUGAACCUGGAGGAUAUUAUAGAAGUGAAAUAAGCCAGGCACGGAAAGAGAUGGUGCCUUGCGUUGUUGCCGGGCUGGUCUUGAAUUCCUGGCUUCAAGUGAUCCUCCUGCCUUGGCCUCCCAACGUGCUGGAAUUACAGAUGUGAGCCACUGCAUCCUGUCCAUAGUGUUCUCUUCUAAUCCUUUUUAUUUCUAUGAGGUUUGCAACCUCAUUUUUGGAGCCUAAAACACUCAUUUGAUCACAUGGAUGCCUGGAAUGACUUUGUUUUACAAUGCAUUUCCUUGUCUUCAGAGUCAACUAAAGCACAACCAUUGAGGUCCAUCCCCAGUUAUGGAACAGAUUAUGGGAAGGAAAAUGAGUUUCAGAAAGUUGUUCAGGUCACACAUGUGAAUGGAUCUCAUGAGAUCUGAUGGUUUUAAAAACAGGAGUCUCCCUGCACAAGCUCCCUCUUUGCUUGCCGCCAUCCAUGUAAGAUGUGACUUGGUCCUCCUCAACUUCUGCCAUGAUUGUGAGGCCUCCCAAACCACAUGGAACUAUGAGAACAAUGAAGCACAGAGAGAUUAUGUUAACUUGUCCAGUGCCAAAGAGCUAUUAAGUGGCAGAGCUGGGAUUUAUUGCCACUGCACUGUUGCCUCUUCUGUUAGGAGCUCUUUGCUGUGCUGAGAUUGCAGUAUUUAAAGAUAGUCUCUCUGUCACCCAGGCUGGAGUGCAAUGGCGUGAUCUCGGCUCAUUGCAACCUCCGCCUCCCGGGUUCAAGUGAUUCUCCUGCCUCAGCCUCCCAAGUAGCUGGGAUUACAGGUCUGGAGGCUAGAAGGUUGAAAUCAAGGUAUUAGCAGAGCCAUGUUUCCUAUGAAGGCGAAGGUUAAUGUCUUUGUUUGGUAGAACAUAACCUUCAUCUUCUUUCUGAAUAAGAAUACAUGGCAUGAACACAAAGAAAAGAACAACAGACACUGGGUCUAUUUGAGAGUGGGGGGCACGAGGAGUGAGAGGAGCAGAAAAAAAUGACUAUUGGAUACUAGGCUUAAUACUUGGGUGAUGAAAUAAUCUGUACAACAAACUCUCAUGACGUGAUAUUAUGUAUAUAACAAACUUUCAC
rnacentral:lncRNA from 1 species